CAACUUCUUCCUGGUUUAGUCUUGGGAGAGUGUAUGUGUCGAGGAAUCAUUGUUUCUCUUUAUAGGCACAGACUCAGAGAUUAGUCAUUACCUUGGACCUAAACUUUUUUUUUCAAAUGUAUACAUUUAUAGGUUGCUACCAUUUUUUCAGUGGCCUGAGGAAAACUACUAUUUUGAAGUAAAGUAAUACCAUAGAGUAUUUUAUGGACCUUCAUUGUCUUUUACUGGCUUGAUGAAGCCAGUCACGGCCCCCACCCGCUCUCUUUUUUUUUUUCCUUAAGCAGAUGAAAGGAAAGGGCAACCUUAUUUUUUCUAAAAAUCUAUCUUCUUCUGACAUGUUGGAGGGCUUAUGUAUUUUGUUUUAUUCUCGUUCAAAGCCUUUAGCUUAAGCUAUGUCAAGGCUGUCUAUAGCAGUUGACUUCUGCUUUCUGCUGGGUCUUCAAUUCCUGUUCCUCCUGCCACAAAAGAGCGGUUGCUGAUGCUACUUUAGAAAGUGAAGUCAUUUGCCUUUUCGGGUAGAAUGAAGAAAGCCCGGAGGAGGCUGCAGAAUCUUUUCACAUGAACUAGAUACUGCUCCUGGAGGCCUGGGUGUGACCGUGACGUAGACUCUGGAGCCACAGGAUAGACCAGUGACCUCAUUUUUCUUGCCAGGCCUCCAGCCCAAGCUCAGCCAUCAUAUCCCCUGUGACCUGCAUGAAUACAUCCAGAUGGCCUGAAGCAAGUGAAGAAUCACAAAAGAAGUGAAAAUGGCCGGUGCCUGCCUUAAUUGAUGACACUCCACCAUUGUGAUUUAUUCCUGCCCCACCUUAACUGGGUGAUUAACCUUGUGAAAUUCCUUCUCCUGCCUCAGAAGCUCCCGCACUGAGCACCUUGUGACCCCCACCCCUGCCCACAAGAGAAAAACACCCUUUGACUGUAAUUUUCCACUACCCACCCAAAUCCUAUGAAAUGGCCUCACCCCUAUCUCCCUUUGCUGACUCUCUUUUCAGACUCAGCCUGCCUGCACCCAGGUGAUUAAAAAGCUUUAUUGCUCACACAAA